GAUGAACGCUGGCGGCGUGCCUAAUACAUGCAAGUCGAGCGAACAGACGAGGAGCUUGCUCCUCUGACGUUAGCGGCGGACGGGUGAGUAACACGUGGAUAACCUACCUAUAAGACUGGGAUAACUUCGGGAAACCGGAGCUACUACCGGAUAAUAUAUUGAACCGCAUGGUUCAAUAGUGAAAGACGGUUUUGCUGUCUGUUAUUGAUGGAUCCGCGCCGCAUUAGCUAGUUGGUAAGGUAACGGCUUACCAAGGCAACGAUGCGUAGCUGACCUGAGAGGAUGAUCAGCCACACUGGAACUGAGACACGGUCCAGACUCCUACGGGAGGCAGCAGUAGGGAAUCUUCCGCAAUGGGCGAAAGCCUGACGGAGCAACGCCGCGUGAGUGAUGAAGGUCUUCGGAUCGUAAAGCUCUGUUAUUAGGAAAGAACAAAAGUGUAAGUACAUAUGCACGUCUUGACGGUACCUAAUCAAAAAGCCACGGCUAACUACGUG
rnacentral:rRNA from 1 species